UUAAGCGACUAAGCGUACACGGUGGAUGCCCUGGCAGUCAGAGGCGAUGAAGGACGUGCUAAUCUGCGAAAAGCGUCGGUAAGGUGAUAUGAACCGUUAUAACCGGCGAUGUCCGAAUGGGGAAACCCAGUGCAAUUCGUUGCACUAUCGUUAACUGAAUACAUAGGUUAACGAGGCGAACCGGGGGAACUGAAACAUCUAAGUACCCCGAGGAAAAGAAAUCAACCGAGAUUCCCCCAGUAGCGGCGAGCGAACGGGGAGCAGCCCAGAGUCUGAAUCAGCUUGUGUGUUAGUGGAACGGUCUGGAAAGUCCGACGGUACAGGGUGAUAGUCCCGUACACCAAAAUGCACAGGCUGUGAACUCGAAGAGUAGGGCGGGACACGUGGUAUCCUGUCUGAAUAUGGGGGGACCAUCCUCCAAGGCUAAAUACUCCUGACUGACCGAUAGUGAACCAGUACCGUGAGGGAAAGGCGAAAAGAACCCCGGCGAGGGGAGUGAAAAAGAACCUGAAACCGUGUACGUACAAGCAGUGGGAGCACCUUCGGGUGUGACUGCGUACCUUUUGUAUAAUGGGUCAGCGACUUAUAUUCUGUAGCAAGGUUAACCGUAUAGGGGAGCCGCAGGGAAACCGAGUCUUAACUGGGCGUUAAGUUGCAGGGUAUAGACCCGAAACCCGGUGAUCUAGCCAUGGGCAGGUUGAAGGUUGGGUAACACUAACUGGAGGACCGAACCGACUAAUGUUGAAAAAUUAGCGGAUGACUUGUGGCUGGGGGUGAAAGGCCAAUCAAACCGGGAGAUAGCUGGUUCUCCCCGAAAGCUAUUUAGGUAGCGCCUCGUGAAUUCAUCUUCGGGGGUAGAGCACUGUUUCGGCUAGGGGGUCAUCCCGACUUACCAACCCGAUGCAAACUACGAAUACCGAAGAAUGUUAUCACGGGAGACACACGGCGGGUGCUAACGUCCGUCGUGAAGAGGGAAACAACCCAGACCGCCAGCUAAGGUCCCAAAGUCAUGGUUAAGUGGGAAACGAUGUGGGAAGGCACAGACAGCCAGGAUGUUGGCUUAGAAGCAGCCAUCAUUUAAAGAAAGCGUAAUAGCUCACUGGUCGAGUCGGCCUGCGCGGAAGAUGUAACGGGGCUAAACCAUGCACCGAAGCUGCGGCAGCGACACUAUGUGUUGUUGGGUAGGGGAGCGUUCUGUAAGCCUGCGAAGGUGACCUGUGAGGGUUGCUGGAGGUAUCAGAAGUGCGAAUGCUGACAUAAGUAACGAUAAAGCGGGUGAAAAGCCCGCUCGCCGGAAGACCAAGGGUUCCUGUCCAACGUUAAUCGGGGCAGGGUGAGUCGACCCCUAAGGCGAGGCCGAAAGGCGUAGUCGAUGGGAAACAGGUUAAUAUUCCUGUACUUGGUGUUACUGCGAAGGGGGGACGGAGAAGGCUAUGUUAGCCGGGCGACGGUUGUCCCGGUUUAAGCAUGUAGGCUGAUUAUCCAGGCAAAUCCGGAUAAUCAAGGCUGAGGUGUGAUGACGAGGCACUACGGUGCUGAAGUAACAAAUGCCCUGCUUCCAGGAAAAGCCUCUAAGCAUCAGGUAACAUCAAAUCGUACCCCAAACCGACACAGGUGGUCAGGUAGAGAAUACCAAGGCGCUUGAGAGAACUCGGGUGAAGGAACUAGGCAAAAUGGUGCCGUAACUUCGGGAGAAGGCACGCUGGUGUGUAGGUGAAGCCCCUGCGGGUGGAGCUGAGACCAGUCGAAGAUACCAGCUGGCUGCAACUGUUUAUUAAAAACACAGCACUGUGCAAACACGAAAGUGGACGUAUACGGUGUGACGCCUGCCCGGUGCCGGAAGGUUAAUUGAUGGGGUUAUCCGUAAGGAGAAGCUCUUGAUCGAAGCCCCGGUAAACGGCGGCCGUAACUAUAACGGUCCUAAGGUAGCGAAAUUCCUUGUCGGGUAAGUUCCGACCUGCACGAAUGGCGUAAUGAUGGCCAGGCUGUCUCCACCCGAGACUCAGUGAAAUUGAACUCGCUGUGAAGAUGCAGUGUACCCGCGGCAAGACGGAAAGACCCCGUGAACCUUUACUAUAGCUUGACACUGAACAUUGAGCCUUGAUGUGUAGGAUAGGUGGGAGGCUUUGAAGCGUGGACGCCAGUCUGCGUGGAGCCAACCUUGAAAUACCACCCUUUAAUGUUUGAUGUUCUAACGUUGGCCCCUGACCGGGGUUGCGGACAGUGUCUGGUGGGUAGUUUGACUGGGGCGGUCUCCUCCCAAAGCGUAACGGAGGAGCACGAAGGUUAGCUAAUCCUGGUCGGACAUCAGGAGGUUAGUGCAAUGGCAUAAGCUAGCUUGACUGCGAGCGUGACGGCGCGAGCAGGUGCGAAAGCAGGUCAUAGUGAUCCGGUGGUUCUGAAUGGAAGGGCCAUCGCUCAACGGAUAAAAGGUACUCCGGGGAUAACAGGCUGAUACCGCCCAAGAGUUCAUAUCGACGGCGGUGUUUGGCACCUCGAUGUCGGCUCAUCACAUCCUGGGGCUGAAGUAGGUCCCAAGGGUAUGGCUGUUCGCCAUUUAAAGUGGUACGCGAGCUGGGUUUAGAACGUCGUGAGACAGUUCGGUCCCUAUCUGCCGUGGGCGCUGGAGAAUUGAGGGGGGCUGCUCCUAGUACGAGAGGACCGGAGUGGACGCAUCACUGGUGUUCGGGUUGUCAUGCCAAUGGCACUGCCCGGUAGCUAAAUGCGGAAGAGAUAAGUGCUGAAAGCAUCUAAGCACGAAACUUGCCCCGAGAUGAGUUCUCCCUGAGACUUUAAGUCUCCUGAAGGAACGUUGAAGACGACGACGUUGAUAGGCCGGGUGUGUAAGCGCAGCGAUGCGUUGAGCUAACCGGUACUAAUGAACCGUGAGGCUUAACCUU
rnacentral:rRNA from 1 species